rnacentral:rRNA from 1 species
GACGUAGGGCGCGAGCGUUGUCCGGAUUUAUUGGGCGUAAAGAGCUCGUAGGCGGUCUGUCGCGUCGGCUGUGAAAACCCGGGGCUCAACCCCGGGCCUGCAGUCGAUACGGGCAGACUAGAGUGCGGUAGGGGAGACUGGAAUUCCUGGUGUAGCGGUGAAAUGCGCAGAUAUCAGGAGGAACACCGGUGGCGAAGGCGGGUCUCUGGGCAGUAACUGACGCUGAGGAGCGAAAAGCGUGGGGAGCGAACAGG